rnacentral:tRNA from 1 species
GGGAACGUGGCUCAGUGGUAGAGUGCUUGCCUCCAAUGCAUGAGGCCCUGGGUUCAAUUCCUCAGCACCA